rnacentral:rRNA from 1 species
CCUACGGGAGGCAGCAGUGAGGAAUAUUGGUCAAUGGGCGCGAGCCUGAACCAGCCAAGUAGCGUGAAGGAUGACUGCCCUACGGGUUGUAAACUUCUUUUAUAAAGGAAUAAAGUGAGGCACGUGUGCCUUUUUGUAUGUACUUUAUGAAUAAGGAUCGGCUAACUCCGUGCCAGCAGCCGCGGUAAUACGGAGGAUCCGAGCGUUAUCCGGAUUUAUUGGGUGUAAAGGGGGCGCAGACGGCGAUGCAAGCCAGGAGUGAAAGCCCGGGGCCCAACCCCGGGACUGCUCUUGGAACUGGGUGGCUGGAGUGCAGGAGGGGCAGGCGGAAUUCCUGGUGUAGCGGUGAAAUGCUUAGAUAUCACGAAGAACUCCGAUUGCGAAGGCAGCUUACUAAACUGCAACUGACAUUGAUGCUCGAAAGUGUGGGUAUCAAACAGGAUUAGAUACCCUUGUAGUC